rnacentral:misc_RNA from 1 species
UGGUUCUGGCAUCGAUGAAGAACGCAGCGAAAUGCGAUAAGUAAUGUGAAUUGCAGAAUUCAGUGAAUCAUCGAAUCUUUGAACGCACAUUGCGCCCCUUGGUAUUCCGGGGGGCAUGCCUGUUCGAGCGUCAUUAACAACCUUCAAGCUCUGCUUGGUAUUGGGCCUUGCUGCUUCUGCAGGCCUCAAAUUCAGUGGCGGUACCACUAGGUCCUGAGCGUAGUAAAUAUCCUCGCUACAGGGUCUCGGUAGUCUCUAGCCAGUAACCCCCACAUCUUAGUUUGACCUCGGAUCAGGUAGGGAUACCCGCUGA